rnacentral:tRNA from 1 species
UGCAUACAUGGCGGAACAGGCAGACGCACAGGACUUAAAAUCCUGGGGUGGGUGACCACCGUCCGGGUUCGACUCCCGGUGUGUGCAUCC